UCUCAAUAUGGCGAAGACGAGUCACCUGAAGGCCUAACUCGCCAUAGAAGACUGAAAGAAUUGUCCUGCAGGAUGCUGUGUCCUGCAAUCCUGUGUGCUGUGCUACAGACGCGUGUGGAGGUCAACCCAAAAUGGGCACAGUCUCACCACAGAAGAGUGAAAGAGGAUCCUGGCAGGGAGACGGUAGUGUCCUGCAGAAUGGUGAUGGGCCAAUCUUACAAGAGACCAAAGAAAACUGAUAUAGUG